UCUCUUGUGUUUCUUCCCGUCCCUUUCUCUUCUAUUUUGUUUCCACUUUUUUUUUCUUCGUUAAUCAUGCUCCCUAAUCUCACAAAUCUUGUCUCUCUAAUAUCUUUUUUCAUCACCACUAAACCUUUGUUACCACCAGGUCUUGUCAACCUCUCCACCACAUCUCGUCGUCGUUGCAGCCAUAGCUUCGUCACCACCAUAGCUUGUCCAUCGAGGCGAGGAUGAAAAAUCGUUUGACCUCCUCACCACUACGACACAUCUAAGAAGGAACCGGGAAGGAGAAGAAGUGGUGUUACAGAGUGGUGUCUCCGGCUUCGUCUCUCUCCCUCUCUCUCUCUCUCUCUCUCUCUCUGUGUGUGUUCUGAUUCCGGUUUUGUUUUUCUGUUCUUAGUAAAAAAGGCGGAGGAGGCUGAAGAAGCUUGAUGGUUGUGGUCUCGGCGUCAACAGUGGUGGUCUUGACUUCGUCAAUGGUAGCUUAGCGCGGUGGUGGAGGCUGAAUAAGCUUACCUGUGGUGUUCUUGGCUGGUGGUGGAGGCUGAAUAAGCUUACCUGUGGUGUUCUUGGCUGGUGGUCUCGGCCUCAAAGAUGAAGAAAACGAAGGAGCUGAAGUUGACGGCGAAGGAGAUAAAGUUACGGCAAAAAGAAGGAUUUAGGCAAUUGGCAUAAUGAGACAUCUUCAAAGCAAAAACCUAUGGAAUUCGUAUUGGUUGAUGGAUCCAAAUUAAUCAAUGCAUGUUCAAAUUAAUCAAUGCAUGUCAGGAAGCACCAAUGGUCCUUCAUCAUCAAGGGACAUCGAUCUAAUCGCAGGGUGCAACAUAUCGGCCAUGGAAGAUAGAAACUGAGACUUUGCAACGGCGGCGCAAGGGUGCAGGUGAAUCACUUGAGGGAGAAUGUCAACCGUAGUCGAAGCAAAUUUACCGUGAAUCAAGCUAAAUUCAAUUAUGAUUUUUUGAGAAAUCAUCGUAUAAGGAAAACUUGCGCUGGACGUUGAAAUAAUUUGAGAAAGUUCCACGAGGCUAAAGGAAAGUAUAGAAAUUAGCUCACAAUGAGAAUAUUACCGGUAAGUAAAAA